GACGUAGGUGGCGAACGUUAUCCGGAGUUAUUGGGCGUAAAGGGUGCGUAGGUGGCCUGACAAGUUAUCAGUGGCAAAUCGAGGCUCAACCUCGUGGAAACUGGUAAUACUGUUCGGCUUGAGUACAGGAGAGGUUAACGGAACUCUAUGUGGAGCGGUAAAAUGCACAGAUAUAUAGAAGAACAUCAAUAAAGGCGAAGGCAGUUAACUAUUCUGUUACUGACGCUGAGGCACGAAAGCGUGGGGAGCAAAACGG
rnacentral:rRNA from 1 species